GGUAACAUGGCCGAGUUGGUCCAAGGCGUCGCAUUCAAGUUUUCAACCUUAUGGGGGUUCACCUUCACUGCGAUCUCGAAAGAGGCACGCGUUCGAAUCGCGUUGUUACCA
rnacentral:tRNA from 1 species